UCAAGACUAUGAUAAUCAUGGAAACAUUUAGGAAUGAGUCAAAAAGGCUGGGGGGUGGCCUCCUGUGGCCUCUCAGAAGCCAAACAUAGACCGGGAGCCAGGGCUGGAGCCUCCCUGCGAGCACAGGUGGGAAGAAGUGGAAGAACAGGUGACAGGCAUUGGAGAUGAGGGACACAGCUGGAGCCUGUAAGGGUAUGAAGAGUGCCCUGAGUCCUCACAGUGUUGCCUUUUACAGGAGUUUGUUAAACUGCGAGAUCUAAUAAAUGCAUGAUGCUUCAAGCCUGUAGGAGGCUGUGCAUUUGCUCCUCCUCCACCCUGCAUUGAUUUCCACUUGGAAGUUGUGCCUCCAGUGGGACAGCCGAAGCAGCUAAGGCUGGUUCAAAUGCACUCUGAGUCUCUGAUGCCAGAAAUUCUGCAAUCGAAAUUUCUCCCAUUUAUAAAUUCAUUUUCAACCUCUUUUGUGGGAUGCUCACUGUGCCUAAGAUUCAUGAAAAGAUUUUCUCAUUUUAAUUCUUUUUUAUUGAUGAAGAAACUGAGGAUGGGAAAGCUGUAGUAACUCCUAGCAGCUACUCAGCUAGCCGGAGAUGCAGGCCGCCCCCAUGUUUCCUUCAGUCAUUCUGGUCUUCUUCAGUUCCUUCCCAGGAACGCUUCCGUGUUUUCCUUCUAUACUAAAUUUAUUUUUAGUUUGCAUUUUUCUUGCUUGAUCUCAAGUCCAUCUGCCCACUGCUGGCCAGUAAUAAACUCCCUUACCUGGGAAGGGAACAUUGCGGAGGGAGUCGGUGGGAAUGGAAACAAUUGUUUCCCCUCCAAGCCGUAAUAACUCCAUUUCAGGGACUUCUGGGGGGAAAUUUGCCACUGAAAAUCAUUCUGCAUCUGCAGCUAGAAAAUUACCUAAGGGAAAAGGUCCUUUUAAAAUCUAGUAUUUCCUGGCAUCAGAUCAUUCUGUCCUAGAAAAAGGGAAACCGUUGGCACCCCAGAUCAUUACGGCAGCAAUAACAGCGCUAGGUCCUAGCGUCACACGUUUUAAAACAUGUCAGGAGCACUGCAGGCUGCAGCAGCAAUGGCACUCUUCCCUGACUUUCUAGAACCCACACUGGAAUGCAGCGGAACGCCACUUAAGUGGAAGGGAAAGGAGGCAAGCAUGAUGUGCUUUCGGCUGCCAGGCCGGGGGCAAGGAAGCACAGUGCAGCACCUCCACACUCAUUCUGUCGGGAGCCCAGCCCAGCUUUGGUGCUGUCCUCUGUAUUCCCAGAGAGCAAAAGUUUGUCACAGUAGACCAGGAAUAGAAAGUCUGAGAAUUUUAGCAGCAUAGAACUGAUAUGGAGCUUAAAGAAAGGGUAUCUUCUCCCUCGCUACCAUAUUACACACAAAGCAAAUGAGAUCCACAAGAGCUGACCUCAAAAACCGUCAUGACCGCCCUCAACACUGCACAGCAGAGCCAGCAGAGCCCCUAGAGAUGAUUAUUUACCAAG
rnacentral:lncRNA from 1 species